AAUAAAUGAAAAAAUUUUUAUUGAGUAUUACUUUAUACAGGCAAAUUAAAAGUGAAUCUAUAUUAAGCUGACUAUUCCACAAUAAAAACCUAUGCAAUGGGAAUAAUCAAAGCUGUCUACACAAUACUAAUGUGUUCAAUAAAUUAUCCAGAUGUUUUUCUGCAAAUAUUUGGAUUACCUGAUUAGCUGAUUCUUCAACAAAAGUUAAAUUUUAGCUUUAAUAUGGUAGCAGCAGAAUGCUACUUAAAUUUAGAAGAAAAACAUAAGAAUAAAAACCCUGAAUAGCAUAGCCAAAUCUUCCAAGAAAUAAGUUCACCAAAAAAGUAACAUACACCUAUUUGGUAUCCAGAGGAGGAAACAAAACAAAACACAGGCACUUAAUCAACAUUCACCAAGUGAUCAUCACUAACAUUCUAUUAUUACCAGAGCAACUGUCAAUAUGUGAACUGUAGAUCAGAACAGACUUACAUAUCUAAAAACAAACCAGUAAUCAAUAAUAUAUACAGAAAUACUAACUUGAAGUCACAUUUAAAUACCAUCAAGUUUGGUGUAUCUGAUAUAGACUGAAUUCAUUUCAUCACUGCUAUAAAUUUCUUAAAAGUGUUCUUUUCCUAAUGUAACAUUAUCUUUAAAAAAUGGCAAGAUAUUUCCCAAUAUGCAUCAGUUCUUUCACUCCACCAUUCAGUAAAUGUUGCAGCACAUUAAACAGAACCUGUUAACUAGAUCUAAAAACAAUGGCUGCAUAAUUAACACAAAGAAGUACUUUUGAGUAAACUAUUCAGAUUAGACAGGCUAAUGCUAACUAAGACUGCAUUUUCUGCUACUGACAUGCACUAUAUAGAUCAUACACUAAGAUGGAAGGUUGGUCCAUGUCCAUUUAUUUAAAGAUUCUGUAACACCUAUAAUAGUAUUUAAUACAGCUCCCACAAACAAUAUUCCUCUCACAUAGAUGUAGUUAUUUUUAGUGGGAAUAAGGAUAUGACACAUGCUACGAGAUUCUAGCUAAGAAAAUAAAAACAAUAUGGGCUCAGGUUUUCUUAGCAAGUUUUUGAACUGGGAAACAACCAACUUCCAUAUAUCCAGGAGAAACUUAGCAUGGGGCAAGGUGCCUUAGUUGAUGUGCCUGAUAAGCAAACUGUUAGUUGUCUCUUAGUAUUAUGUUUUCAGCUUAAUGUAACAACAAAAGAAAGGUGUCACACUACUUCUCAGAUAGUAACAAUUGCAAUCUUAGAUUGUAAUUGGGAUUACAAUUACAAUCCCAUGGGAUAUCCUUUAUUAAUGACAGCACAGUUCCAAUGCAAAAGUCAAGCUUAAUGGUUACAUAUCAGGAUAGGUUCAGACCCAAUAUGACCAUGUUUAGCACUAACUUUUAACAUGUUAAAGUUCUGAUUCCUGAAUGUUUUUCUCACUUAAUAUAUUCCCUCCAAUGACAAGUUGUUGUGUUUGGCUUCUUAUGCUGAAAAUACAUGCCUGAAUCCUAUAACAAGUUAUUAACAGUAUCAUGAAUAGUUAUUAAAUAAAUGCCAGCACUGCAUGGAACUUACUGUCACCAACUCAGAACCAUAAAACUACACACAUAUGCACAAAAAAAAAAAUCCCAGAGACCUAUCAUUGUACAUAUAAAUACUGUCCAGGGUAUCAGAUCAAUUAUCAAAUCCAAGGUCUCUGCUGUUUUGUCUUAUGGUGUUGAAUAUAUGAAUGCUUCUCUAUUACACUGACUUUUUUGUAUUAUUUUCAAGAAAUUAUUAACUGGAUUCAAAAUCUUACACUUUUAUUUCUAAUUAUAAAAUCCAGAUUAAUCCAGAAAACACAAACCACAUGUAACCGAGGUAGGUUUUUCACCUUAAGAAUACAUUGAUUCUACCACAAUUUAAAAUUUUAAACAUUGAAGAAAAAAAAAAAAGACUACAUUGCUCCAUAUACCUGCCUC
ensembl:lncRNA